rnacentral:rRNA from 1 species
UACGUAGGGGGCAAGCGUUAUCCGGAUUCACUGGGUGUAAAGGGAGCGUAGACGGCCAGACAAGUCUGAAGUGAAAAUCCAGCGCUUAACGUUGGAAGUGCUUUGGAAACUGUGCAGCUGGAGUGCAGGAGAGGUAAGCGGAAUUCCUAGUGUAGCGGUGAAAUGCGUAGAUAUUAGGAGGAACACCAGUGGCGAAGGCGGCUUACUGGACUGUAACUGACGUUGAGGCUCGAAAGCGUGGGGAGCAAACAGG